rnacentral:rRNA from 1 species
CGGGUGAGUAACGCGUGAGAAUCUGCCUUAAGGAUUGGGACAACAGUGGGAAACCGCUGCUAAUACCAAAUAUGCCUUUUAGUGAAACGGGUAAAACCGCCUUAAGAUGAGCUCGCGUCUGAUUAGCUAGUUGGUGUGGUAAGAGCGCACCAAGGCGACGAUCAGUAGCUGGUCUGAGAGGACGACCAGCCACACUGGGACUGAGACACGGCCCAGACUCCUACGGGAGGCAGCAGUGAGGAAUUUUCCGCAAUGGGCGAAAGCCUGACGGAGCAAUACCGCGUGAGGGAGGAAGGUUCUUGGAUUGUAAACCUCUUUUCUCAGAGAAGAAUAAUGACGGUAUCUGAGGAAUAAGCGUCGGCUAACUCCGUG